AAAAAAUAGUACUCUUAAUUAAGAUACUCUUUGAGCAAAUUUAUAUCUUUCUCCACUUAAAUGCAUUUUCAUAUAAUCCUCAUUCAUUUCACACACACGUAAAUACAUGUUCUAGAUUCUCUUAAUUGGCAGGAAGAUACAUGGCUUAUUUGAAGAAGGUUAUAUUGAACCUGACUUUGCUGUUUGUGAUUAUCUUGUCAAUGGAAGUGGCAACAACAGCAGCAAGGUUACCACUGUGGAAAAUUGAGCCUCAUCACAAAAUAAAUGGACGCCUACUUUAUAUUGUUGAUGAUGUUCCACGCGGCCACCACUAUAAGUCUCCUCCUCCUCCUCGUCCGUCUCCUCCUCCUCCUCCUCCUCGUCCAUGAUGCUGAUGAAUCCAGGGCACCAGAAUUAGCACGAUGGUGAAAAGAGCAAGUUGACAAUGAAUAAAAAAAGGGUGAAAAAGAAAGAUGCAAACAAAACUUGUGUAAUUGCAUAUUCACAUGCUUUAAUAAUUAAUAAACCUAUGAGUUGUAUCCAAAUAUUAUGAGUACUACUAAUUUAUGAGUUCUCGAUAUAUAGGCAAUUUUUGCAAGAGAUUUUUAGUGA